rnacentral:rRNA from 1 species
ACGGAAGGCAGCAGUCGGGAAUAUUGCGCAAUGGAGGGAACUCUGACGCAGUGACACCGCGUGCAGGAAGAAGGUUUUCGGGUUGUAAACUGCUUUAGACAGGGAAGAAGAAAGACAGUACCUGUAGAAUAAGCUCCGGCUAACUACGUGCCAGCAGCCGCGGUAAUACGUAGGGAGCAAGCGUUAUCCGGAUUUAUUGGGUGUAAAGGGUGCGUAGACGGGGAAUCAAGUUAGUUGUGAAAUCCCUUGGCUUAACUGAGGAACUGCAACUAAAACUAAUUUUCUUGAGUGCUGGAGAGGAAAGUGGAACUCCUAGUGUAGCGGUGAAAUGCGUAGAUAUUAGAAAGAACACCAGUGGCGAAGGCGACUUUCUGGACAGUAACUGACGUUGAGGCACGAAAGUGUGGGGAGCAAACAGGAUUAGAUACCCUGGUA